ACAGCCCAGACCACCAUUAAAGGCCCCUAAAUAAUUACUAAGUGAUAAAGGAUGUAAUAUUACAUAGACAACCAGGAGGUUGGCUUAGAAGCAGCCAUUCCUUUAAAAAGUGCGUAAUAGCUUACUGGUCAAGUGAUUUUGCGCCUAAAAUGAAUGGGACUAAGUAAUUUGCCGAAAAUGUGGGAGAAAUCGGUAGAAGAGCGUUCUGCAUCGAUUAGAAGCGGUAGUGUAAACAGCCAGUGGAUCGUCCAGAAGUGAGAAUGUCGGCUUAAGUAACGAAAACAUUGGUGAAAAUCCCAUGCUCCGAAAACCUAAGGGUUCCUUAGCUAGGUUCGUCCACUAAGGGUUAGUCAGGUCCUAAAAUGAGGUUAAACAACGUAAUUUGAUGGGAGACAGGUUAAUAUUCCUGUACCGAUACUCACCAGACAGUGAGUGACGAAAAAGGCUAAGUCUGCCAUAGAUUGGUAAUCUAAGUUGUGGUUAAAUCGUUCAAGACGUUGAGAGAUGUUAUGAGAGAAUGUCUUGAGUUAAGGCGAGAAUAGAAUAGAUGCUACGGCAUUGAAAGUGGCUGAUGUCAUAUUUCCGAGAAAAGCUUUUGUUAGUGAAUUGUGAGAUCGUCUGUACCGUAAACUGACACAGGUGGGUUGGUAGAGUAUACUAAGGAGCGCGAGAUAACUCUUUCUAAGGAACUCGGCAAAUUAACUUCGUAACUUCGGAAGAAGAAGUGCCUCGUAUAGAGGCCGCAGUAAACAGGUCCAAGCGACUGCUUACCAAAAGCACAGGUCUCCGCUAAGUUGAAAAACGAUGUAUGGGGGCUGACGCCUGCCCAGUGCCGGAAGGUUAAAGAAAUUGGUUAACGUAAGUGAAGCUAGUGACUGAAGCCCCGGUGAACGGCGGCAAUAACUAUAAUUGUCCUAAGGUAGCGAAAUUCCUUGUCGGGUAAGUUCCGACCCGCACGAAAGGCGUAACGAUUUGGACGCUGUCUCAGAAAGAGACUCGGUGAAAUAGAAUUGACUGUGAAGAUGCGGUCUACUUGCACUUGGACAGAAAGACCCUAUGAAGCUUUACUGUAACCUGAAAUUGGUUUUGGGUUUUUCUUGCGCAGCAUAGGUGGGAGGCAUUGAUCUUAUCUUUAGGGAAAAAGUGAGCCAAAAUAUGAGAUACCACUCUGGAAAAACUAGAAACCUAAUACUUUGCUCUUAGGCCCGACCAAGAUGAUUGACAGUUUCAGGUGGGCAGUUUUACUGGGGCGGUAGCCUCCUAAAAAGUAACGGAGGCGUACAAAGGUUUUCUCAGUCUAGACGGAAAUUAGUUGUAGAGUAUAAAGACAUAAGAAAGCUUGACUGUGAGACCUAUAAGUCAAGCAGAGACUAAAGUCGGUCUUAGUGACCCGACGGUGCUGAGUGGAAAGGCCGUCGUAAACAGAUAAAAGUUACUCUAGGGAUAACAGGCUGAUCUCCCCCAAGAGUUCACAUCGACGGGGAGGUUUGGCACCUCGAUGUCGGCUCAUCGCAGCCUGGAGCGGUAGUACGUUCCAAGGGUUGGGCUGUUCGCCCAUUAAAGCGGUACGUGAGCUGGGUUCAGAACGUCGAGAGACAGUUCGGUCCAUAUCCGGUGUGAGCGGUAGAGUAUUGAAAGGAGCUUUCCUUAGUACGAGAGGACCGGGAAAGACACACCACUGAUGUACCAGUUUUUGUGCCAACAGAAUACGCUGGGUAGUCACGUGUGGAGUGGAUA
rnacentral:rRNA from 1 species